CAGACCGAUGAAGAUUUGAAAGAUGUAAUUAAAUAAAUAAAAAAUUACUUUAAAAUGAAGGUAACUUGUGAGUGACGUUUUGUUGUUCUUUCACAGGGAGUACCUGAACUAUCAGAACAUGGUGAUGUUUAUGAGCUUGGUUUCGGUUUAGGACACGAACAUCCUCCGACCAGUGCCCUUAUCAAACCGGAGUACCGUCGAAAGCUCCUUUACCACAUGAGUCCUCAACAGGUAUUUUCUAUUUUAUUUUAUUUUAUUUCUCUAGGUUUCAAAUCAGAUAUUUUUUUCUCACAAUCCAAAUCUGUUGUCCUUAUGCUCGCCGUUUUUGUUUAUGAAUGUUGUCAAGGAAUGUGCGUUGGCUGCGUUACUAAUGAGACCAGGUCCGGUUCUGGCGCUAACGACAGCAAAGGUUGAAGAAAAAGGACAAGAAGUGGAGGAGCACGUGCCGCGCGUGUUCAUCAAGACGUUGCACGACCGGGUGAUGAAACCGGAGCAGCAGGAGGCGAUGAUGAAAAAGUGGCCACCGAGAGAAGCGUACGAAGUGGACAGUGACCAUUCACCUUUCUUCUCUAACCCUUUUGUGCUCUUUGGUUUACUCAUCAAAGCUGCCGUUUCUGUUGGUUCCAAUACUGAUAUUUAGUAGACAUGUUACUCGAGUUAACUCUAAUCAAACAGAAAAUGCCCAAUCGUUGCUUUCUCUAUAUUCUCUCUCUGCCUUUGAGGUUGCCCUAAAUAUACAACCUGAUGAUGGUUUAGCGGUGAGAAAUUAGUGGUAGUCUUAUUUUGUUGAAACUAUAUUAUAGAUUGAAUUUUUGAUAUACACUCAUUCAAAUGUCUACCACAGAGAAAAAGAAGGUUUAUAAUGAAAAUGAAUCUGAUUCCCUCGUCCACAAAGACUCUGACAAUUGGCAAAGGCUUUCUUUCUUUUUGCACAUGUCUCCGCUCAGGCCAUUUCAUAUGUCACCUCUCACACUUAUUGGAUUGUCCCCCGCUCCUCUAAAUAUCAAAAGCAUCUGAUGCAGUUGAAUGCACGUAAGACUAUUCAAGAAAACAUCUAAAUUCACUAUUAUGUUGAAAAAAUGAAUGGCCUAAGCGGAGAUGUUGUAUUUUCUGAUCAAGAAAUUUUAUUUUAUUUUUUGGAUUUUGUAACGAUUUGUUAGGCGGGUUAUCCGGUCGCUGAAGACUACACGUUUCUUGGUUAAAAAAACCUUAAAACUGGUUAGAGGAGAAAGAGUUAGAGAGCCAUGAGUGGGAAAACCUCAUAAUACGGAAUAUUGCAUACUAGAAUAUUACAACUUGAGUUAUGAUCAUAAGUCAUGUCAUUUUCAUUUACACGUUGGCUUGUCUUUAUUGAAAGUAAAAAAUAUGUAAUGUUACAAAAUAAACCGAAAGUUAAGGAGAUAUUGAAGAAAAUAAGGAAAACACGUUACUCUCUGAAAAGGAGGUGAUAUCUUCAUCUUUGUUUGUGACAUUUCUCCUUUUCCCUCUUCUCAAUCAGUGGUUAAUUAUUUGCACCUAUUUGAUUUCCUUUAUUUUGUUCAAAAGUCGUAAUUCUUUUAAUUUAUAAUUUGAUAGUUCUACGUAGAUAUCAUGACAUUUACGUUUUCUAACUUUACUGAUCAUUAAACAUACGUUCAACAAGUCAAAUAGUUUCGAGUUUUUGACGUGUAAGGUAAAACUAGAAGGCCUUCGAAUGACACCCAUUUAUUCUGAUAUUGAUUUUUUGGGCAAACUCAAAUGGUUCAUAACAUUACAUUUUGUCAAGACCGAAGUGUUCCGUGUAAGAUUUAUUCUUUAUUUUUAGCAACGAGCCAUUGUAAUGGUCAAUGAACGUUAUUGUUUUUACGUUACAAAUUUGACCGAGAAAAAACUAGUAAUCCUACAUAAUCAAUUUUAGUCAGAAUACAAAUGAAUCCUAGCACGGGCCAUUAUAAUAUAUGUUUCACACGUGACAUACCUGAAUCUAUGUAACAUUUUAUAAUAGCGAUGACUAUUUGUAUACUCGAAUACAGCUAUCAAAUACUAGAUUUUCUGUUGUGAGUCGAGAUUAAUCAUUAUUUACAUACGUCCUCGAAUUAACCUAAACAUUAAGGUGGAAAUCCCGCUCAAGAUUAAAAGCUGUUUAGUGGAUAUAAACGUGUAACUAGUGCGAAUAAACACACAAAUACAAAUCGUAAGAAUAUAGUCAGCAGACAAUUAUUACUCAUUGACUAUCUCAACUAUACGGAGAUGCAAUAAACCAAGUGCCAUACACCAAAGUCGGAUCCACAAUCAAAUCGACAAACAUAUAUAACUAUGUAUAUAUAGAUGCAAACUAUACCCUUUUUCUUCUUCCUUUAAUUUUCUUAAAAUUGGUGGUGAUUGAUCGCAACAUACGUAAGUAUACAUUUGGAAAAAGAAAUACAUAAAGAAAAAAGCAGAAAUCUUGAAAUGUACAAAAUGCCAGAGUUAACUUGAUGGGAAAAGAUUAUCCAUUUCCAUAAAUCUCUUGAUUUUUUUUUUGUAAUAUUUUUCCAGUAAAUCACUUUUUAAUUGCUUUAUUAAUCUAUUAGAUAUUUUACCAAAUAAACUAAUCAGUUGUUCGAUUAAUUUUGGUAAAAAAAACUGUUUAAUAAGCUAGGUUGCAUGGAAACAGAAACGGAUACGCGGAAACGGUUUCGUUUCGAAACGUGGAAACUUGAUUUUUUUAUUUUUUUUGCUUUAGAAAUGUUUUAGAAACGUCUAUAUAUAUAUAUAUAUAACUGAUUAAUAUUUAUAUUCAUUUUUGUUAUGUUUAGUAUAUCUUUUUUGAAAAUAUAUGUUUAAUAUAUCUUAAAAUACAAAUAAAUAAAUAGCCAUUCUAUUUAAUCAUACAAAAAUAAAAUAAAUCAUCAUUAAACAUCAAAGUUAUAUAAAAAAAUCAAAAUAACAAAAACCCAGUACUUAAAUAUUAAAUAACUUAACUAAAAUAAAAAUCAUAACAACAAGUCAUAACCAAUUGGAAAGUUCUAGCGUUUCCAAAACAGAAACGCGAGUUUCCAAAAUAGAAACGCAAGUUUCCACUAAGUUUCCAAACUGAGAUUUUUAAGAAACGAGUUUCCAAAGCGUUUCCGUGAGUUUCCGAGAGAUUCCGAUUCCGAAACGUUUCCGAAAUGUGAAACGGACCUUCAACCGAGUUUCCAUGCAACGUAGUUAAUAAGACCCAAACAGAAAAAGAAAACAGAAUUGGCUGAGCGAGAAAAUAAGCUGCAGAAGGAAAAUUUCCCUAGAAAUUCUACUUAAGUUGCAUGCAUACUACUAGUUAUCAAAUUUCUAUGAAAAUUAAAGUUUUAUUUUUAUUUCCUUCAACUUAUGUUAUAACUGGAUAAAACUUCUAUGAAAAGUCAACAGAUAUUUUCAUCAUUUCAUAAGAAUAAAAUAAUUACUGAUUAAUGUUGAAACGUUACAGUAAGAAAAAAAAUCACACUAAAAGGAAAUGGGAAGAAGCAAACAUAUAUCUUCCACCACUGUGUAUGCGCUUGACAUAUGUGACAAAGACCCCAAGAAAACACCCAAAGCACCAAGCUGAAAAAAAUCCAUCAAAUCGCCGGCGUAGUUGAUGGCGGAGGAGAAUCAAGAAGAAACCCUACUCUUGAAACCAAGAAGUAAACCACCUCACUUCGUGUUAAUACACGGCAUAAGCUUAGGAUCAUGGUGCUGGUACAAAAUCAAAUGUCUCAUGGAAGUCUCUGGCUUCACCGUCACUUGCAUCGACCUCAAAUCCUCCGGCAUCGAUCCUUCCUCUGCCGAUUCUCUAACUUCCUUCGACCAAUACAACCAACCACUCACCGACUUCCUCUCCUCCUUGCCCGAACAAGAACAGGUCAGACACACACCCGAGAAAACUAAAAAACUAACUUAGUUAAUUCUUGAAGCCUAAGCAAACUCACUCUGUUUUCUCUGUUCUAUGUUUUGUCAUCAGGUGAUACUAGUGGGUCACAGUGCAGGAGGGCUUAGCGUAACUAGCUCGAUACAUAAAUUCCCUAAGAAAAUCUCUCUAGCUGUUUAUAUUGCAGCUACAAUGCUCAAAUUCGGGUUUCAGACCGAUGAAGAUUUGAAAGAUGUAAUUAAAUAAAUAAAAAAUUACUUUAAAAUGAAGGUAACUUGUGAGUGACAUUUUGCUGUUCUGUCACAGGGAGUGCCUGAACUAUCAGAACAUGGUGAUGUCUAUGAGCUUGGUUUCGGUUUAGGACCCGAGCAUCCUCCGACCAGUGCCCUUAUCAAACCGGAGUACCGUCGAAAGCUCCUUUACCACAUGAGUCCUC
rnacentral:lncRNA from 1 species